UUUAAAGUCUAAUCUGCCCUAUGAGGAGUUAAAUGGCCGCGGUACUCUGACCGUGCAAAGGUAGCAUAAUAAUUAGUUUUUUAAUUGAAAGCUGGAAUGAAUGAUUGGACGAGAAAAUAACUGUCUCAAUUUAAUUUUUUUAGAAUUUUAUUUUUAAGUAAAAAAGCUUAAAUUUAAUUAAAAGACGAGAAGACCCUAUAGAGUUUUAUAUUUAAUUUAUUAUUAGUUUUUAAGAAUUAUUUUAUUAAUAUUUAAUUAAAUAUUUUAUUGGGGCGAUAGAAAAAUAUUAUUAACUUUUUUUUUAUGAUAAAUUCAUUAAUUUAUGAAUAAAUGAUCCAUUUUUUAUGAUUAAAAGAAUAAGUUACCUUAGGGAUAACAGCGUAAUUUUUUUUUAGAGUUCUUAUCGAAAAGAAAGAUUGCGACCUCGAUGUUGGAUUAAAAUAAAUGUUUGGUGUAGGAGCUAAAUAAUUAGGUCUGUUCGACCUUUAAAAUUUUACA
rnacentral:rRNA from 1 species